rnacentral:snRNA from 1 species
UACUCUUGUUUUUCUUCAGAUCGUAUAAAUCUUUCGCCUUUUACUAAAGAUUUCCGUGGAGAGGAACAAUAAGAGUUUAAUCUAAUUUUUUGAUGCCCUGCUGAAAAGUGGGGCU